rnacentral:misc_RNA from 1 species
CUGCCACUCCUGCUUUUCUCCUUGAAUCUGACCCACCCAUUUUAAUCUCCCCGAAUGAACCUAUCGAUUUUGAUCUAAUUACCCGCUCCCCCAUCCACCCAAUCGUUUCAUUUUCAUACCCUACACUUGAAACACUCGAUACUUUCCUGUUUCUUCUGCUUCCUCCUCUAAUCGUCUUGUUAGCGAUAACAACCUCUUCAUUUGAAUCAAUCACCGCCUCCAAUGUCCGCGAUUCUUCCACCAUUCCCACGCGCCUCCUCAAACGAUUCCAUAUGUGCUGCGCGUGAACUCUCUUGCUCACAAUUUUCAAUCCCUCAACUAUCUCUGCCAUUCCGGGACGCUUCUCCGCCGUGGAUCUCACACACCUUGCCGCCAGAAUUGCCAGAUUCUUGAUCACUCCCGGGUCGACGGGCGACCCGAUUCUAUUGUCGCAAAUAGCCGAGAAAUCUCCGCGCUUUAUCAACGGAACCGCCCAGUCGCCUAUAGAUGGAGGGCUGUAGUUGACAUCAAUUGCAUUUCU